UUUUGGGGUCCCAUAUUAUUAUGCCUUUUGACCGUAUAUAUUUUAUUUUUAUUUUUGUUUUGUGACUUUUCUGAUUGAUGUUUAUCAUAUGACAAUGGAACCUUUAAAUCAAUCCUUGGUUUGAUAAUGGCGCAAGCCGAAACAUGUAACCGGAUGAUUUGAAUACAAGGUUCCACCACUGAAGUGCUU